AUCUGGCUGGCUCAGUCAGUGGAGCAUGUGACUCCAGAUCUUGGGUUCAUGGGUUUGAGCCCCAUGUUAGGUG
rnacentral:tRNA from 1 species